rnacentral:rRNA from 1 species
AGCGAACGCUGGCGGCAGGCCUAACACAUGCAAGUCGAACGGACCCUUCGGGGUUAGUAGCGGACGGGUGAGUAACACGUGGGAACGUGCCUUUAGGUUCGGAAUAGCUCCUGGAAACGGGUGGUAAUGCCGAAUGUGCCCUUCGGGGGAAAGAUUUAUCGCCUUUAGAGCGGCUCGCGUCUGAUUAGCUAGUUGGUGAGGUAAUGGCUCACCAAGGCGACGAUCAGUAGCUGGUCUGAGAGGAUGACCAGCCACAUUGGGACUGAGACACGGCCCAAACUCCUACGGGAGGCAGCAGUGGGGAAUCUUGCGCAAUGGGCGAAAGCCUGACGCAGCCAUGCCGCGUGAAUGAUGAAGGUCUUAGGAUUGUAAAAUUCUUUCACCGGGGACGAUAAUGACGGUACCCGGAGAAGAAGCCCCGGCUAACUUCGUGCCAGCAGCCGCCGUAAUAC